rnacentral:rRNA from 1 species
CACGUAUGCACCAAGCGUUGUCCGGAUUUAUUGGGCGUAAAGAGCUCGUAGGCGGUUGAGUAAGUCGGGUGUGAAAACUCUGGGCUUAACCCAGAGCCGCCACUCGAUACUGCUCUGACUUGAGUUCGGUAGGGGAGCAGGGAAUUCCUAGUGUAGCGGUGAAAUGCGCAGAUAUUAGGAGGAACACCGGUGGCGAAGGCGCUGCUCUGGGCCGAAACUGACGCUGAGGAGCGAAAGCGUGGGUAGCAAACAGG